rnacentral:rRNA from 1 species
UACGGAGGGGCGAGCGUUAUUCGGAAUUAUUGGGCGUAAAGGGCGCGUAGGCGGCCCGGUAAGUCAAAGGUGAAAUCCCUCGGCUCAACUGAGGAACUGCCUUUGAGACUGGCGGGCUUGAAUUCGGGAGAGGGAUGCGGAAUUCCAGGUGUAGCGGUGAAAUGCGUAGAUAUCUGGAGGAACACCGGUGGCGAAGGCGGCAUCCUGGACCGACAUUGACGCUGAACGGCGAAAGCUAGGGGAGCAAACAGG